GUCGACGGUAGCACAGAGGAGCUUGCUCCUUGGGUGACGAGUGGCGGACGGGUGAGUAAUGUCUGGGAAACUGCCCGAUGGAGGGGGAUAACUACUGGAAACGGUAGCUAAUACCGCAUAACGUCGCAAGACCAAAGAGGGGGACCUUCGGGCCUCUUGCCAUCGGAUGUGCCCAGAUGGGAUUAGCUAGUAGGUGGGGUAACGGCUCACCUAGGCGACGAUCCCUAGCUGGUCUGAGAGGAUGACCAGCCACACUGGAACUGAGACACGGUCCAGACUCCUACGGGAGGCAGCAGUGGGGAAUAUUGCACAAUGGGCGCAAGCCUGAUGCAGCCAUGCCGCGUGUAUGAAGAAGGCCUUCGGGUUGUAAAGUACUUUCAGCGAGGAGGAAGGCGUUGCGGUUAAUAACCGCAACGAUUGACGUUACUCGCAGAAGAAGCACCGGCUAACUCCGUGCCAGCAGCCGCGGUAAUACGGAGGGUGCAAGCGUUAAUCGGAAUUACUGGGCGUAAAGCGCACGCAGGCGGUCUGUCAAGUCGGAUGUGAAAUCCCCGGGCUCAACCUGGGAACUGCAUCCGAAACUGGCAGGCUAGAGUCUUGUAGAGGGGGGUAGAAUUCCAGGUGUAGCGGUGAAAUGCGUAGAGAUCUGGAGGAAUACCGGUGGCGAAGGCGGCCCCCUGGACAAAGACUGACGCUCAGGUGCGAAAGCGUGGG
rnacentral:rRNA from 1 species